rnacentral:rRNA from 1 species
GUCUUUUUGAUUUUAAUUUAAAGUCAAAUCUGCCCACUGAUUUAUAUUAAAGGGCUGCAGUAUAUUGACUGUACAAAGGUAGCAUAAUAAAUAGUCUUUUAAUUGAAGACUUGUAUGAAAGAUUUGAUGAGAUAUAAACUGUCUCUUUUUUAUAUUUAGAAUUUAAUUUUUUAGUAAAAAAGCUAAAAUUAAUUUAAAAGACGAGAAGACCCUAUAGAGUUUUAUAAUUAAUUUAUUUAUAUAUUUAUAUUUAUAAUUUAAAAUUUAAUUAAUUUAAUUAUUUUGUUGGGGUGAUAGAAAAAUAAAUAAAACUUUUUUUAAAAAAUUACAUUAAUUAAUGAAUAAAUGAUCCAUAAAUUAUGAUUAAAAGAAAAAAUUACCUUAGGGAUAACAGCGUAAUUUUUUUUUUUAGUUCUUAUAGGAAAAAGAGUUUGCGACCUCGAUGUUGGAUUAAGAUAAAAUUUAAAUGUAGAAGUUUAAAAUUUUUGAUCUGUUCGAUCAUUAAAAUCUUACA